rnacentral:rRNA from 1 species
AUGUUGGUCCUCAUCAACGACCAACUCUACAAGAUCAGACUGGUCAAGUUCGAGCGAGUCGCUCGUGCCCUUGCCAACAAGGGUAAGGGCUGGAGCGUGCGGGUCGAAGUCCGCGCCCGACCGUCACCGCCCGUUGGACGCGGUCGAUUGUCUGCGCGAGACGGAGCGGUUGCGUCACGAUCGAUCAGGGCUGCCGCGACUCCUGAGAGGUUUUUCGCCACUAGAAGGACGAUGAUGAUGGAUUGGCCGGUGAUGGAGGUGUUGAUGGCCUCGGAGCCCAUCCCGCGAGGUCACUGUCUGGUGGUCCCCACUGUCCAGCAAGCCCCACACAGCCCCUCUUCUUGCAUCACGCGUUGUCUGGCUGACUGCAGGGUCUCGCAUCACUCGAUGAACGUCAUCGGUGACAUCGACCUCAGUGACACAAGACGGCUCCGGGAGUUCUCUCGCUGA